GAUCUGAGUGAUAAAUCCGACCUUGGGGAGAAGACUGAGAAAAUGGGAGUGAACUUAGAUCUCUGUCUACUGUGUGGGUUAUGGAGCUCAAGCUCGGCAGCAUGUGACUUUAACUGCCAGCCCCUGAGGAGGAAGAAGCUUCUGCCCGAUUCUCUUUUGCCAUUGGGUGCCCAGCUGUCGGAUGCUCAGCCAUUGGGUGAUCAGCAUUUGUUGAUAAGGCAGAGAACAAAUGCCUUGAAGGAAGAUGGGCUUAUUCAGACAGGCACUCUUUGCAUGAUUUCAUGCUGACUUGCAGAGGUACUAAUUUCCUCAUGUUAUUUUCCUGACUGAAGAUCAGCUAUGAGAUCACCUGUCUAUCCCCUAAGACUUCCUGAUAUUUUCUGUGUUGACAUAGUGUGCAUUCUAGUUAAGAUGUGUACCUUAAGAUAGAACGUUGCUUUUAUCUCUGAGGUAUGUAGAAAAGAGCAAUUGUUUCAGACGUAUCUCUUGAGCCCAAUAAACUAGUUGAAGAAAAGGGA
rnacentral:lncRNA from 1 species